GAUGAAUGCCGGCGGCGUGCCUAAUACAUGCAAGUCGAGCGGUAACACUUCGGGUGACGAGCGGCGGACGGCAGAGUAACGCGUAGGAACGUACCCCAAACUGAGGGAUAACGCACCGAAAGGUGUGCUAAUACCGCAUGUGAUCUUCGGAUUAAAGCUUCGGCGGUUUGGGAACGGCCUGCGUAUGAUUAGCUUGUUGGUGAGUUAAUGGCUCACCAAGGCGACGAUCAUUAGCUGGUCUGAGAGGAUGAUCAGCCUGACUGGAACUGAGACACGGUCCAGACUCCUACGGGAGGCAGCAGUAGGGAAUUUUCCACAAUGGGCGAAAGCCUGAUGGAGCAACGCCGCGUGCAGGAUGAAGGCCUUCGGGUUGUAAACUGCUUUUGUCUGUGAAGAUUAUGACGGUAGCAGACGAAUAAGGACCGGCUAACUACGUGCCAGCCGCCGCCGUAA
rnacentral:rRNA from 1 species